AUCUGCAGCCAAACCACCCUGAACAUGCCCGAUCUCGUCUGAUCCCGGAAGUUGAGCAGGGUCAGGCCUGGUUAGUACUCGAAUGGGAGAAAGGGGACGACAGUGG
rnacentral:rRNA from 1 species